UACGUAGGUGACAAGCGUUGUCCGGAUUUACUGGGCGUAAAGAGCGCGCAGGCGGUCGUUCAAGUCGAGUGUGAAAGCCCCCGGCUCAACUGGGGAGGGUCACUCGAUACUGAUCGACUCGAAGGCAGGAGAGGGUAGUGGAAUUCCCGGUGUAGUGGUGAUAUGCGUAGAUAUCGGGAGGAACACCAGUGGCGAAGGCGGCUUUCUGGGCCUUACCUGACGCUGAGACGCGAAAGCGUGGGGAGCGAACAGG
rnacentral:rRNA from 1 species